CAGAGCGUCGUGGGCCCCCGGGCCCCGCCUCGCAACCCGUGCUCGACCCCCUCCUGCCUCGGCGGCGCCCCCGCGGCCCGCCGGGCUACCAACCCGUGGAACCUGCCGUCCGAGGGCGAACGCCCAACCGCAGCA
rnacentral:misc_RNA from 1 species